rnacentral:rRNA from 1 species
UACGGAGGGUCCAAGCGUUAUCCGGAAUCAUUGGGUUUAAAGGGUCCGCAGGCGGUCAAUUAAGUCAGAGGUGAAAUCCCGCAGCUUAACUGUGGAACUGCCUUUGAUACUGGUUGACUUGAGUUAUAUGGAAGUAGAUAGAAUGUGUAGUGUAGCGGUGAAAUGCAUAGAUAUUACACAGAAUACCGAUUGCGAAGGCAGUCUACUACGUAUAUACUGACGCUCAUGGACGAAAGCGUGGGUAGCGAAAGGG